AUGGAUCCGCGCUGCAUUAGCUAGUUGGUAAGGUAACGGCUUACCAAGGCAACGAUGCAUAGCCGACCUGAGAGGGUGAUCGGCCACACUGGAACUGAGACACGGUCCAGACUCCUACGGGAGGCAGCAGUAGGGAAUCUUCCGCAAUGGGCGAAAGCCUGACGGAGCAACGCCGCGUGAGUGAUGAAGGUCUUCGGAUCGUAAAACUCUGUUAUUAGGGAAGAACAUAUGUGUAAGUAACUGUGCACAUCUUGACGGUACCUAAUCAGAAAGCCACGGCUAACUACGUGCCAGCAGCCGCGGUAAUACGUAGGUGGCAAGCGUUAUCCGGAAUUAUUGGGCGUAAAGCGCGCGUAGGCGGUUUUUUAAGUCUGAUGUGAAAGCCCACGGCUCAACCGUGGAGGGUCAUUGGAAACUGGAAAACUUGAGUGCAGAAGAGGAAAGUGGAAUUCCAUGUGUAGCGGUGAAAUGCGCAGAGAUAUGGAGGAACACCAGUGGCGAAGGCGACUUUCUGGUCUGU
rnacentral:rRNA from 1 species